ensembl:snRNA U6 U6 spliceosomal RNA
GUGCUCACUUCAGCAGUGCAUAUACUAAAAUCGGAAUGAUAAGAGGAAGAUUAACAUGACACCUACACAAGGUUGACACACAAAUUCAUGAAGCGAUCCAUAUUAAA